rnacentral:rRNA from 1 species
GUGCACCAGUCGAGAAACCUCCGCAAUGCGGGAAACCGCGACGGGGGACCCCGAGUGCCGUGGCAACGCCACGGCUUUUCCGGAGUGUAAAAAGCUCCGGGAAUAAGGGCUGGGCAAGGCCGGUGGCAGCCGCCGCGGUAAUACCGGCGGCCCGAGUGGUGGCCGCUAUUAUUGGGCCUAAAGCGUCCGUAGCCGGGCCCGUAAGUCCCUGGCGAAAUCCCACGGCUCAACCGUGGGGCUUGCUGGGGAUACUGCGGGUCUUGGGACCGGGAGAGGCGGGGGGUACCCCUGGGGGUAGGGGUGAAAUCCUAUAAUCCCCGAGGGGGGACCGCCAGUGGCGAAGGCGCCCCGCUGGAACGGGUCCGACGGUGAGGGACGAAGGCC